rnacentral:rRNA from 1 species
UACGAAUGGAGCGAGCGUUGUUCGGAAUCACUGGGCGUAAAGCGUGCGCAGGCGGUCUUGAAAGUCAGGAGUGAAAUCCCAGAGCUUAACUUUGGAAUUGCUUUUGAAACUCCAAGACUAGAGUACUGGAGGGGUUGGCGGAAUUCCGAGUGUAGCAGUGAAAUGCGUAGAUAUUCGGAGGAACACCGAUGGCGUAGGCAGCCAACUGGACAGUUACUGACGCUCAUGCACGAAAGCGUGGGGAUCAAACAGG